UUUAAAUCAGCUAGCUGGAGUCUGGGAGAUGGUCUGGUUGUUGUUAGAGAGGGUAAUUUAGCCUGCCAAGGAACGGGAAAAGAAUCAUAAUAAGGCUUAGCAGGUGCAGGUUGGUGAAAAUGCAGGUGAAAAACAGCAGCAUUCCAGUCAUGUAAAAAUGAAGUGAGAGAGUGUUGGAACAGACUUUCUUUAUUUUUAACCAAGGGAAGCAGACACUGAAAUGUGUAUGGGAAAUGCAACAGAAUGUGCUACAGCCCAGGACUCUGCAGAAAGCCUGCUUUCACAUUUUGGAUAGACGGUUAAGUUCCCAAGGAAUGUGUAUUCCCAUGAAGAGCUUUUGGAAAAUGCAUGCAUGGCAAUUACUGCACUGGAGGAAUCUCUCUAAUGGAUGCCACUCUUACCAUGAAAAAGAGGCGUUUGAGCUAUCUUCUCAUUAAGAGGACUAUAACAGAGGAAACAACAUUACUAGAGAAAUCUAAGCAGCUCUGACUAAGAAGACAUGGCAAACGUAGAGUGGGUACGGCCUCUUGCUAUGAAUCCAGAGGCUCAGGUCUGAGUCUUACGUCCUACAGUAGUGAGGGCUGUCCCCAAGUGACCCGGUGCAGAAAGGGGAUAAUCGGAAUUAGGCCAUUCGAGGUAGCCGGAAAGGCAACUGCCACUGUCACUCCCUCGUGUAUCGCUGACUACAUGGCAGAUGCUGGCUCACCUUAACCAUACCUGACUGUUUGCCUGGGCUCGGCUGAACUGGACAGAUCUCAGUGUAAUGACCCAGGUUCUGAUUAGUGCCUUUGAACUGUGUUAAAAAUUUGAAAUGUGAACCUUGACUGUGAUCUUUCUUGUGUGUAGGAAUUUUCCUGGUGCAACUAACUAAAAUUAAUCCAAAAUCUUCCGAGCUUCACAUGUUUAAAUUUGGAGAAAAAUGGGAAGGUAUUUCACCAUGGUUUCCUUUUUCUUUUCCACUUCUUCUUUGGCUGCUACGGUAAUAUGCAUUGAAAUAGUGAUCUGAAAGAAUCAUGAAGCAUACUCAGAAAAAAAUAUGGAAUGAUCAUUAACAAUGUGCUUCAAUAUUUAAUCAAAAUAAAUCCAACAAGAUAAGUGUUUUCCAAAGUGCUUCAGUUCAUCCUAAGGUAAAUAUCUAAGAUACGUAAGUGGGACAAAUUGCACUCCAGAAAUACCAUUCUUUUUCUAUUGCUUAUUGAAGAACUCAGAUCACUAGGUUAGAUUAUGUGCCUGAUUUCUAGCAGGCUAAAAUUAAGUCAGUAGAAUACCAUCCUAGAUGGUGGUGCAAUAACGAUCAUCUCUUUGAAGUCUCACUGUAUUCAGUACAACAUUGGCACCUCAAGAAGAAGCCUUGAGUUCAGCUAGAUGAUAGAAAAACAGUUAUUGGGUAAGCAUGAAAUAGAUAAAUGCUAAUCCCUAAAUUAUGUAAAAUGUUGUAAAAAAAUUAUUUUGCUUUCAAACAGACUAAAAAGGAUUCUGGCUGUCUGUUUUAUAACGUUUCAAU